ACUCCAGCCGGCUUCCAAUUGGACUCCUUGCCGGCUUGCCCUUCUUCUCCGGUUGAAAUUGCCUUCGUCCCCCGCUCAUAUCGUCGUCCUUCGAGUAUAGGGGGCGUUGCGGAGCUGAGCUGAGGUUUGAGGAUUUCACAGAGCUGCUGGUCGCGGAGCUGCUGGUCUCGGAGCUGCUGGUCGCGAAGCUGCUGUCCAUAUUCCAUCCUGCCUUUCACCGAGCUGCUGGUCUUCGAGCUCUCUGGUCUACUAUUGGUAGGUGACCAGACAGACGGAGAGAGAGGUUCCAAUCUCUAGCAGUUGCUUGCUGCCAUUCCUAUUUUCCAUUAUCAGCAUUUGCGAAUUAAUUUUGUGCCCUUUCCUCUAGCCUCCAGUCUCAGGUCCAUAUUUACUCUGAUUAUUAUCACUAGUCUAAGUAUGCCUGCAUUGCAGGUAUUUAUUUCAUUUAUGAUUAGUAUUGUAUUUAUCCAUUAAUUAGGCUAAAACAUAAUCAGUUUUAUAUAUUAUUAAUUCACUAAAUAUUUUAACAUGAUCAUCAAAUUUAUGUAGAAAGUGCGAAUAUGAAUCUAAAAAGUAUAAAGUGUUUAAUACGGCUCUAUUCAUAUAUAUAUUUUAAUUUUUUUACAUUAUAUGUUAUUUUGGUUAAACUUUAAUGAUGAAUAGCUCUAAUGGUAUCCAGCAAAAAUAAUUAAUUAUUUUUAAAUUAUAUUAUUCUUAAAUUUUUGAAAACUGUAUUUACCUUUUUAUUUUUUCUAUUGCAUUAGUAGAAACACAUUUAUUGUUGUCGCAAGUUAAUUUUACUUUAUUUAGUUAUCUUGCCCGUGCAUUGUAUAGAUUUUGUUACGUAUUUUUCCUUAAAUUUUUAAAUGAGAAUAGAAAUUUUGAUAUUUAUGAAUGGCUAAUGAAGUACCAUAGAAAUUACUGUUCUGGUUUAUUUACUUAAAUAAUUAAAUCAAAAUAUAAGAUUAUUGCUAUAACGGUUUAAGGUUCUCUCUAUUAUUUUAAUUAUUUAACACAUAUUUUUCAUGUGGUCGAGUCAAAUUUUUUUGACAUAUUCGUCUAUAUUAUUUGUAUUUUAGAAUAUAAUUAGAUACUAUUUAAAAAAACUAAAUCAAUAGCUUAAAAGACUUUCCCGAUAUAUGAAAUGUUUUGCCAAAUUUAAUCAACUAAAUGUUGAAAGCACGAAAAAUCUUUUCUGCACCAUCAUUUAUAUACUCUUCUUAUUCCCAACACCUUAUCCUAGCACAGAAUCUCUCAUCCUCUGUAUGUAGUUCGUAUUUAAAAUUUUCAAAAAUAUAAAAUUGUUUUGUGAUAAUUUUUUACAAUAAUAAUCCCAUAGAAAUCGAGUUAGUUCUUCUGAAGUUCUCAUCAUUGCAUUUUGUUCUUCAAAGUUUAUUGUAAAGUUUUUUCUUUCAUUGCAAAUACAAUAUCAUAUAUUUAAUGAUACUAUUUUCUGUACGAUUCAACCGUCGCAAUUAUAUUUUGCGUUCCUUUAUUACCUAGGUAGAUUAUUUAUUUUAAUCAUAUGCACAAAAAUAUAUAAAAAAAAAGUAUUGCACCUAGUGUUAUUAGAAUCAGACCGGAUGUCGAACUGCUUGAGGCAUGGGUUUAUGGGUUCAAUCGGAGUUUCGAUGGGUCAGAAUAAUUAUAAUUUGAUAAUAUGCAAUAAUUACAAUAUUAUUAAGAAAAACAAUUAAGAUAUGGUUAUGAAUAUACAUUGGAAAGGUUACCGGCAUAAAUGACUAGGAAAUGGUGAGAAAAGGGGAAAAUAACACUAAUGGUCCUAAAGGUUUGCUAUUUUUUGACAUUGAAUCCUAAAAGUUUCACUUCGGAUAACCAAGUCCUAAAAGGUUUGAAAAAGUGUUAGCAUUGGUCCUAAAUGUGACUGACCGUUACCGUGACGCCACGUGGACGUAACGGCGUCAAAUUCGUCCACGUGGCCGUUAAUACGACGAUGUGGCACGUUGUUGUUGGACCAGAUAUGAAAUCUGCCGGAUUUCAACCCGACUCGACCCAAACAGGGCCAGUAAUACCCGACCCACCAAUAAAAUCGGAUUACACCUCGACAUGUCUGUCUUCUUCCUCUUCUUCUUCUGCUACUGCUUCUCCUCUUCUGUUCGACUUAUCUGUUUUCUUCCUCUUCUUCUUCGACUUCCAAAACGUUUUGGAAUUGUUUCGCGACAGCGGGAUUCUUCUCCGAAAACGUAGAGGAUUCUUCUCCGAAAUUCGCUUCCCCGAAGACGCUGGCUACAAUAACAAGCCGAUCCGCCGCAUAUUCUCUCACAGGGAGAGCGAUUUCUCCGGCGUGGACGAGAAGGGCUUUAUCAAUCUGAAGUUCAUCUCAUCCUUGGAAGCCAAAGCAAGCGAACCGCUUUCCACCGGUGUGAACAUGGGGCUGCUCGCCAGAAACAUCAAAUUCUCAGAAAUAGAAUUGAAGGAUGUCUCAUCUGCUUCCUCUUAUAUUCGGACCAAAUCUUGUUUUCUGUCUUUUGCUGGGAGAUUGUAUAGAUUAUUAUUAGCAAAAAUUUUGGCCCAGAAUGUGUUCAUUUUCUCAUUACUGAGAUUUUGAUUAGUUGAAUGCAAAACUAACCAAUAGCAUUCUCUCUAACAAAUCUAGUAAGUCAAUGAUCUAGCUGGGAUGUUUGUGGUUGUGGAUCGUCUUCACAGGCAUUGAAGUUCUCUUCAUUACUUGUUAACUGAAAAAUUUUGUGGAUCGUCUUAACAAA